rnacentral:tRNA from 1 species
GACUCCGUGGCGCAACGGUAGCGCGCUUGACUCCAGAUCAGAAGGUUGCAUGUUAGAAUCAUGUCUGGGUCA